GACGAACGCUGGCGGCGUGCUUAACACAUGCAAGUCGAACGGAAAGGCCCUGCUUUUGUGGGGUGCUCGAGUGGCGAACGGGUGAGUAACACGUGAGUAACCUGCCCUUGACUUUGGGAUAACUUCAGGAAACUGGGGCUAAUACCGGAUAGGAGCUCCUGCUGCAUGGUGGGGGUUGGAAAGUUUCGGCGGUUGGGGAUGGACUCGCGGCUUAUCAGCUUGUUGGUGGGGUAGUGGCUUACCAAGGCUUUGACGGGUAGCCGGCCUGAGAGGGUGACCGGCCACAUGGGGACGGAGAUCCGGCCCAGACUCCUACGGGAGGCAGCAGUGGGGAAUAUUGCACAAUGGGCGGAAGCCUGAUGCAGAAACGCCGCGUGCGGGAGGACGGCCUUCGGGUGGUAAACCGCUUUCGCCUGUGACGAAGCGUGAGGGACGGUAAUGGGUAAAGAAGCACCGGCUAACUACGU
rnacentral:rRNA from 1 species